AGAGUUUGAUCCUGGCUCAGAACGAACGCUGGCGGCAGGCCUAACACAUGCAAGUCGAACGAACUCUUCGGAGUUAGUGGCGGACGGGUGAGUAACACGUGGGAACGUGCCUUUAGGUUCGGAAUAACUCAGGGAAACUUGUGCUAAUACCGAAUGUGCCCUUCGGGGGAAAGAUUUAUCGCCUUUAGAGCGGCCCGCGUCUGAUUAGCUUGUUGGUGGGGUAAUGGCCCACCAAGGCUACGAUCAGUAGCUGGUCUGAGAGGAUGACCAGCCACAUUGGGACUGAGACACGGCCCAAACUCCUACGGGAGGCAGCAGUGGGGAAUCUUGCGCAAUGGGCGAAAGCCUGACGCAGCCAUGCCGCGUGUAUGAUGAAGGUCUUAGGAUUGUAAAAUACUUUCACCGGUGAAGAUAAUGACUGUAGCCGAGAAGA
rnacentral:rRNA from 1 species